UUGAUUUUUCCCAGGAGCACAGAAAGUUUUCAGGUACCUGACUCUGCGUCUAUCCCCAUUGUUUCCUUUUGGGAACUGAAUGAGUGGUGGAUGCAUCAGAUUUACUUGUCUCACCAACUGUGCUGUAAUUUAUGCUGAAAAUUUAGGAAAAUAGGUAACAACGUUGUUAGUUCAGAGAUAUCCUGACUGUAUCGAAUGUACCAUUGCUUUGCUCUAACAGAUUUCAACACCAUUUUCUGAAUCCAUGUGAGACACGGCUCAUUCCUCUUCUCUAGGUUUUUCUGCAAUUUCCUGUACCUACAAGAUCCUGCAGUGGUGUCAGAGUUGUGCCUGCUGCAGCUCUCUGACAGACACACCAGCAGUCUAGCACUCCUUGCCCAAACAGGCCAAGCAGACAUCACUAAAUGACCACAGGCUGGAAAGUUUCUUGAAGUCCUGAGCCUCACAACAGGCAACCUGCAGAAAGGAGCCCUGCAAUGAGGAGCUUGCAGAAAUCAUCUGGGUUCUAGCUGUAUCAUAUCUUGGGCUCAGUUGGCCCAGCACCAUGUGAGUUUCACCUGUAGAAGACCUUGCUAAAUUUGCUGUUGCUCUCCUUUUGGGACAUAGGAUAAUUUGGCAAUUUUUCUGAAGGAGGGAGGUGUAGAUCUAAUUUUAGAGACUGUGGAGCACUUUGUCACUGAUGUGUCUUUGCUAAGACACAGCCACCUAUGUAACACUGUGACAACUCCAUGCACUGCUAAAGCUUACCAAGAUUAAACUUUCUUUAAUUUUUCUCCUCAUUACUAGCACAACCCCCAUAAUUAUCAUCACUUUGUAGCACUGGUGUUCUUUUUUACAGUGUUCUCCUGAGCACAAUACCACCAGGUAUCAUAGGUACAAUUCUUUCUUUUAUCAAUUACAAAUAUUUGACAAAGUCUGAUUUUAUGGUACUUUAAUUAGCACUCUUACCAUAUUGAAGAUGUUUCCUGACUGGACUAUGCAGAGACAUGGUCAGGAGCAAAAAUCUUGUGAGCAAAAAUCCUGUAUGCUUAGACAUGCUUAAACUUGUAGCACUACAAUGAUUGAUCCUUGAAUGGUCCUAUGUGAGGUGCAAUGGCAACUAAAAAGAGGUUUGGUAUGUAUCAUCCUAUGUUUGCCUGAUCUGUUUUCAAGGAAAACCUAUUUGAAAGACAUGGAAUAAAACAUCAUUAAAUGUUCCUAGAUGUUUUCCAGUGUUUCAACCAAAGAUGUUACCUGGGCAGUGGAAUUCUGUGGAGAAAUUGCUGGCUGCUGAUGUACCUGAUGUAUCUUGGUCCACGGGAGUGACUUUUGUACUCUAUGCACUCUGAUUUUACUCAGGAGCAACUUUUGAACUCUACAUGUGCUGAUUAUUCCUUCAUACUGGUAUUCUCUGAAGACUUUUCAGGUGGCUGCAUGGACAUUGUUGGAGGACAUGAAGUGCAUCCUCACUCCUGAGCUUAUAUGGCUGCCAUCCAGCACAAGAAUUUAGGUGUUAUUUUGUGGAGGAACUAUUGUGAAAAAAUUGGUUUUGAGAGCAGCACAUUGUGAAAUAGAUGGAUUGGAAGACAGAGUUGUUCCUGGAACUUAUUGGGCAUCCAUUGUUGAAAAAAGACAGCAGAUAUUUGGGAUUAUGGAAACCUUUCCUCAUUGUCAAUGUGAUUGUCCUCCCUUUAUAAUGACAAAAUGCUCAUCAAGAUGUUGAACCUGGCACACUCUACCAGGUGGCAGGCUGGGGACACACACCACCAGAAAAGCCAACAAAAUAUCUCCAGAAGGCAACCCUUAAAAUUGUCAGUAGAAAAAGCUGUGACAAACAUUGUGCCAAUGACCCUAAAAUAACCAACAGCGUGUUGUGUGCUACAGGGAAUAGUAAAUUAUACCCAAGCGAUGCUUGUGAGGGAGAUUCAGGUGGGCCAUAAUCUGUGCUGGUCAGCACCAGGGGUUUGUUUCUUUUGGAGAAGAACAUGAAAAUUCAAGCAUACCUGGAGUUUCUACACAGCUGACUGAAGAAUUUAUUGACAGGAUAAAAAGAACCAUUUCCCAUGACAGAUCCAUGAAAGAGUCAAGAGCAUUUUAACGAAUACUGUGCUGUGCAAUAGAGCUGGGUCCUGCUGCUUUGACACACCUCCUUUGAAAUGUUCCUCCCAGCUUUACAGCUUUGCUGACACCACCACAGCUUUAUGAGAACCGUUCAAAAUAUCCACAUUUAUACAGAUAACACCUUUACUAAUCUUUAGCAGGAGACUGCCACUUAGAAAACAUAAUUUGUAUUGGAUUCCACUCUACUUUUUACUGGGAUGGGAAAGUAUUCAUUGCACCUGGGAUAAAGCAAUAUUUGUUAAUGUGUAUGUACACAAAAGUUCAGUUUCAGACUGAGUGUGAAUGAGAUGUCUGCUGAAUGAGAAAAAAUUGAAAAAAAAAAAAAGGAAAAUCUUAAAAUGUUAAAAUAUUUAUCUG